UACGAAGGGUCCAAGCGUUAUCCGGAUUUAUUGGGUUUAAAGGGUGCGUAGGCGGGUUGUUAAGUCAGUGGUGAAAUCUUGCAGCUUAACUGUAAAAUUGCCAUUGAUACUGACGAUCUUGAGUACACUUGAAGUGGGCGGAAUAUGUCAUGUAGAGGUGAAAAUUCUUAGAGAUGACAUAGAACACCGAUUGCGAAGGCAGCUCACUAAAUUGUAACUGACGCUGAGGCACGAAAGC
rnacentral:rRNA from 1 species